GAGUCAGAUUUUGGACAGUAUAGACAUGAUAUAGGCAUACAUUAUCAGUUAAUCACAUUUUUGCAUAUCAAGUUAUGAUACUUGCUGCUAGGUGAGCGUUUAGGCGGGCAGUCUAUGGGCUGAGUCCGUCAUGGUGUUGCGGCCUUGGCGUUGAGGCGCGGGGGUUGCGCCGGUCGUUGCCCUGGCAGUGGAGCCCCACUUUUGAAGUGCUGUUCGGCCUUCCUCCGGUGUUGAGAUGAUUACUGUCUCUCCGUUCCUGGUGGUGAUGAUUUUCAUCGGGAAUCCCCAUCUGUAUCUGAUGCCUUGAUUUCUCAU